GACAGAGGUGGCGAGCGUUGUUCGGAAUCAUUGGGCUUAAAGCGUGUGCAGGCGGCGGCGUAAGUGUCGAGUGAAAGCCUGCGGCUCAACCGCAGAACGGCUCGGCAUACUGCGUCGCUUGAGGUCGGUAGAGGUGCUUGGAACUCUAGGUGGAGCGGUGAAAUGCGUAGAUAUCUAGAGGAACGCCUGAGGCGAAAGCGGAGCACUGGGCCGAUUCUGACGCUGAGACACGAAAGCGUGGGGAGCAAACAGG
rnacentral:rRNA from 1 species